rnacentral:rRNA from 1 species
AAUCAACGCUGGCGGCGUGCCUAACACAUGCAAGUCGAACGAGAAAGGGACUUCGGUCCUGAGUACAGUGGCGCACGGGUGAGUAACACGUGACUAACCUACCCUUGAGUGGGGGAUAACUUCGGGAAACCGAGGCUAAUACCGCAUAAUACCUACGGGUCAAAGGAGCAAUUCGCUUUAGGAGGGGGUCGCGGCAGAUUAGUUAGUUGGCGGGGUAAUGGCCCACCAAGACGGUGAUCUGUAUCCGGCCNGAGAGGGCGCACGGACACACUGGAACUGAAACACGGUCCAGACUCCUACGGGAGGCAGCAGUGGGGAAUUUUGCGCAAUGGGGGAAACCCUGACGCAGCAACGCCGCGUGGAGGAUGAAGUCCCUUGGGACGUAAACUCCUUCGAUCGGGACGAUAAUGACGGUACCGGAAGAAGAAGACCCCGGCUAACUUCGUGCCAGCAGCCGCAGU